GUGAAUCAUCGAAUCUUUGAACGCAAAUUGCACUCUCUUUGGAGAGUAUGACUGUUUGAGUGUCAGCCUAAAAAAAAAUAGACAUAGUCGCUGUUUCGCGGUUAAAUUCGUCGGAAAUUGGGUUAUAUUAAACCUUUGGGUUUUAAGCGUCUUAAAAUUUUCUUUACUAUUCAACGAACGUUUCUAAGAUUUACUUCUUAUAUGUUUAAGGUAU
rnacentral:misc_RNA from 1 species